AAACUAGGAUUAGAUACCCUAUUAUUAGGGAGCUUAACAUUGUAAGUAUAUAAAUAUUAUGAAAGCAAAAAAUUAUGGCGGUAUCUUAAGCUUUUCAGAGGAAUUUGCUCUAUAAUGGAUAAAACACCUUAAUCUUACUUUAAUUGGUAAAAGACAGUUUGUAUACCACUAUUAAAAUAAUAAUAUACAAUUAUUAUUGAAGUAUAUUAUUUGUAUAUUUAAAUAAAAUUAAGUCAAGGUGCAGCAAAAAUUAAAGUAUGAAGUGAAUUACAGUCCUUUUUAGGUAAAAAAAUGAAAAAGAGUUUAGGAUUUGAAAGUAAAAUUAAAAUAGAAAGUUAAUUUGAAUUAAGCUCUAGGAUAUGUACACAUCGCCCGUCGCUCUCAUU
rnacentral:rRNA from 1 species